rnacentral:lncRNA from 1 species
CCAGGGGCCUCGAGGGCUAGAAUACGGAAGCUCGAUAAACACACGAGUCAGCGGAAGCAACAAUAUCUGAGUACAGACAUAAAACAUGGGGUGCCUUAGAUAAGGCUAGCACAAAAGAUACAACGAUCGAACGAGGCGAGGCCACCUGCCUGGGAACCUCCUAACUACUCCUGAUCAUCAGCGGCCUCCAUGUAGUAGUAGGCACCGUCGGGGUAGCAGUCGUCGGCGGCGGGGACCUCCAUCUCCUGGGCUCCAUCAUCUGGUCGCAGCAAAUGGAUCAAGGGGACAAGGGGGAAGCAAAGCAGCGGUGAGUACUCAUCCAAAGUACUCGCAAGUCUUACAUCAGAACUAUUCUAAUUAUGCAUCAGUAUCAAAAAAGGGGGGUUAUAGGUGGACUGACUGCAGCAAUGCGAGAAUAGAGAGAGAAGGCCUAGUCCUAUCGAAGACUAGCAUCUUCAGGGUCUUGCAGCAAUAGACGAGAGUAGAACAAGGGUAACACAUUAAUAGUCAUAUUGUUGCAGCAAUAUUAAAGUGAGGUCACGCCUAAAGAUCCUCCCUCGACUCCCUGCAAGGAAGCAAUCCCGAGGCAAACUAAUUCCAGUUAAGUAACAAUUGUAGUUGUAAAAGAUCGGGGCACAACUCCAAGUCGUCCUGUAACCGUGGACACGGCUAUCCGAAUAGUUAAUUUUUCAUCCCUACAGGGGUGCACCACAUGUCCCGUCACGCUCGAUAACACUCUGGUCGGACAUACUUUUCUGGGUCCUGCCCGACCACGGAAUAUUGACACGUCGCAGCCCCACCUAAGACUAAUCAGAGAGGUCAGCCCACCGGUCUGAAUCCUAAGCACAAAGGGUUCGUGGGCCUAGUUCCCCUUCGCGCUCCUGCACGUGGCGUGGGCGGCCGACGUCACUCCUGAUGCAUCUCGGGACCACUCGGGCGCGCGCCGCUACAUUUGCUGACAUCUGAAAAGCUUCGGCUUAUACCGCGACGCCGAGUACCCAUAAUUCUUCCUGCGUAGCCGGUUAGUGCGAAAAGGUCUCCGACCAACCCAGAUCAAAUACCCAAAUCCAUUAACAUUUUAAUUAGGCCAUCAACAUAGUCUCACGGGAAUCCAUCCGUCUUACAACUAAUCACCAAAGAUCCCAGUAACAUGGUCGAGUAACUGUGUGGUAGCAACAUCGGGGGGAAUCCGAGGUAUCACCCUCGUUGGAUUCCGAACGAUGUAUCCGUCAAGGUGGCUUAGAGGAAUCACCCUCGGGGGUCCCACACUUGAGGGGUUGCACGACAGAGGCGUCAUCGGGAAUGGUGAAAGAGGAAUCACCCUCGAUAACCAUGACCGACUAGCUAUACUACAGAGAUAUCAUCAGGAGUACUUAGCGAGGUGUCACCCUCGGUACCCGAUAGUAUCUGUGUAGCGUCCUACAACGAAGGGGGUGUAUGUGCGGUGUCGGGUCUGGCUCGUCGAUCAGAGAUCGAGAUUUGAAAACAAGCGAGGCAACUGGACUACGAGGUCAAAGGGGAUGAAUGCUCCACCUAUACUAAGCAGAUUUAAAGUACAGGACUGAAAGUAGCAGUUCAUCAAAAAUAGGCUAUGCAUCAGAUAUAGGAGCUAACUACAACAGUAGCAAAAAUACUAAUGCAAGCAGUAGGAAGAAAGACAUAGGCGAUAUAGGAAUGAUCAAGGGGGUUUGCUUGCCUUGCUGCUCUGCGGCAAAGGACUGAUCGGCAGGGUCGUAGAUGUACCCGGCAGCAGCGUCUGUCUCGGGGUCUACCGGUAAGAAGAGGGGGAAGAAACAAUAAAUAAUAGCAACGGUGCAACACAAAGCAUGACAUGGCAAGAUGCAGGCUAGACAUGAGCUAACGCAGCAACAUCCGUCAUAGACGGGUCGGAAGAAUAUCUGACGAUAUUUUCCGGGUCUCGGGCUACUACCAGUCAUACUGGAAACGAUGGAAAAGUUCCAUGUUUGCUAUGCUAGGGACGCAUGACAGACGAACGGGCCGUGUAUCCGGGUUCGUCUCGUUCUGCUGAUCAACUUUCAUGUUGAAAAAUAUUUUGAUCUGACUUACCGAUUAUUUAACAUUAAUUUUUAAAGUUUUAUUCAAUAAUUAGGAAUUAAAAACAGUUUGAAUAAUUUAAUAAAAAGCUAUUAUGACAUCAGCAUGACGGCAUGGUGACAUCAACAUUUGACUGGUCAACUCACCAGCGGGUCCCGAACGUCAUAGGCACAAGUUUUAAUUAAGAUUAAAUAUUAAUUAAUCAGAUUAAUUUAGUGGGGGACCCACGUGUCAUACUCUAAUUAUUCUAACUAUCCAAUUAAUUAAUUUAACUAAUAUAUCUAUUUAUUUAUUUAAUAAAAACAUUAACAUUAUUUUUAUUUAUUUUUAAUUAUCGUGUGGGACCUCCCUGUCAUAGACAGCGGGUGCUUUGUCCCCACCGGUAAGUGGCUCUAGGCCAAAUACUCGAUUUUAUUCACAGAUACAUAAUCAUGCAAAUAUCGUAUUCAUCCAAAUAUCUAUAUACGCAAAUACAUACAUCGCAUCUCAUACAUACAUACAUACAUACGGCAUCUAAUACAUCUUUUAAUUUAUUUUCUUUUAACUCUCAACACUCCCAUCUCUCUCUCUGUUAACAGAGAGACACGGAACUCUCUGCUCUCACUCAACAUAGAAGAACACAUCUCCAAAUCUUCCUACCGGUCACUACCGUCGACGGGUCGGAGUCCCGUUUGCCGGAACGGAACCCGGACGGUGAGGGGAACGCGAUGGUGGGAGGAGCCCGAGGAGGGGCUCACCAACGUUGAUGAGACGGCCCGGUGAAGCCAGAGUUCUCGUGAGGCGGAGGUGACGGCGGUGAUGGCGCGGUGAUGACGGUAGUGCCGGUGACGGUCGUCGGAGAGGGCCUCCCGGAGUCGUGGCCGAAGAGGAGAGCCCUCCGGUGAAGAAGGGGCCGGCCGGAUCCGGCGAGGGUUGCCCCGGCCUCAAGGGGAGGGAGGCCGGCCGGUCAUGGUGGUCGCCGGAGUUGGUGGCCGGCCGGGUGGGGAGUGGAGGCCGGUUUGGGAGAGGUUGCAGGGGAGUGGUGGUUGCCGGAGUUGAAGGGAGGGGCGGCCGGUCGGAUGGGAGUUGGGGAGGGGCUCGGCCGGCGGUUGGAGGGGCCGAGGGGGCCUUGCAGCCGGCGGGAGGAGGAGGCUGGGAGGGAGAUACGGGAGAGAGAGGAGGUGAGGUGGGAGACGAGGUGGGGGGUCUGGUGCGUGGGGAGAGAACGAGAGGUGGGGAGGGUGCUGCCGAGAGAGAGAGGAGAGAUCGGUGGGAGGGGGCCCCCACGAGGGGUUGGUUGGGCGGUCGAGGGAAGGGAGCCCCUGGCGGCGGCGGCUGGGGGAAACAGGAGAGCGGGGGGAGAGCCACGGGAGUGUGCUAGAGUUUCAGGGGCGUGGGUGGGCCGGCUCGGCUCGGCCACUUUGGCCCAGUCGGCCAGGGGGGUGGGGGGGUUCCUCUUUUUCUUUUUCUUUUUUUGUUUUGUUUUGUUUUCCUUUUCUAUUAUUUCUUAUUUCUAAUUUCUUUUUUUUCUUUUUAAUUUCUUUUCUUUUCUUUUAUUUCUUUUAUCAUUAUUAUUUUUAAUACUUUCUUUCUUUAAUGGUUAAUAUGAAUUUAUAAAUAUACUUUUCUUUUGUUUUCAACUUCUGAAUCCGGAUAGAAAUUCAAUGCGGGUCGACGACGGUAAUUCUCGAUGAGUGGCAUCAUUAGCGGGUGAUCACUGUAGCUUAAUUACAAUAUUAGUGUAGCAAAAGUCGAGGAUGUCACAAUUAUCCCCUACUAACAAGAAUUCUCGUCCCAAGAAUUAAGAGGUAGAGGGAAAGAGCCCGGGGUAUUCAUCACGAACAUGAUCCUCGCGUUCCCAAGUGGCUUCAUAUUCAGAGUGAUUUGACCACUGCACCUUAAGGAACUUGGUGACCUUGCGACGAGUCUUACAUUCAGCUUGGUCGAGAAUGCGGACCGGAUGCUCUUUAUAAGAGAGGUCUUGUUGUAGCUCAAGCAUAUCAUGAUCCACUGCUCGAAUAGGGUCCUUGAAGCAUCGACGGAGCUGAGAAACAUGGAAGACAUCGUGAACCUGAGAAAGGUUCGCCGGCAGUUCCAAUUGAUAAGCCACUCUUCCACGCCUUUCGAGAACUGUGAAAGGACCAAUAUAACGAGGAGCUAACUUGCCCUUGAUUCCGAAACGGUGUGCACCUCUCAUUGGUGUGACACGAAGAUAAGCCUUUUCGCCAGGUUGAUAGACCAUAUCUUGAUGAUGACGGUCAUACUGACUCUUCUGACGAGACUGAGCAGCCUUCAGAUUCUCAUGAAUAAUGCGGAAUUGAUCUUCGGCAUGUUGAAUAAUAUCCGGACCAAAGAGUGAUCGUUCCCCAGUUACUGACCAAUUCAGAGGAGUUCAACACCUUCGCCCAUACAAUACUUCGAAAGGGGCUAUCUUCAGACUAGCUUGAUAGCUAUUGUUGUAAGAGAACUCGGCAUACGGGAGAGAUUCCUCCCAUUUCUUACCGAAAGAAAUGACACAAGCUCGAAGCAUGUCCUCGAGAAUUUGGUUGACUCGUUCAACUUGUCCCUGGGAUUGAGGAUGAAAUGCAGUGAUGAAGGACAGAUGAGUCCCCAUAGCCUUCUGAAAACUUUCCCAGAAUUUUGAAGUGAACAAGCUGCCACGGUCCGAACUGAUUACCAACGGAAUACCGUGAAGUGAAACAACUCUUGACAUAUAAAGAUCUGCCAGCUGACUAGCAUUAAUUGUUUCAUUGACGGCUAGGAAAUGUGCAACUUUGGACAGUCGAUCAAUGACGACAAGAAUAGCAUCAUUACCUUUCUGAGAUCUGGGAAAACCAGUGACAAAACAUGGUCCCAUUUCCANNNNNNNNNNNNNNNNNNNNNNNNNNNNNNNNNNNNNNNNNNNNNNNNNNNNNNNNNNNNNNNNNNNNNNNNNNNNNNNNNNNNNNNNNNNNNNNNNNNNNNNNNNNNNNNNNNNNNNNNNNNNNNNNNNNNNNNNNNNNNNNNNNNNNNNNNNNNNNNNNNNNNNNNNNNNNNNNNNNNNNNNNNNNNNNNNNNNNNNNNNNNNNNNNNNNNNNNNNNNNNNNNNNNNNNNNNNNNNNNNNNNNNNNNNNNNNNNNNNNNNNNNNNNNNNNNNNNNNNNNNNNNNNNNNNNNNNNNNNNNNNNNNNNNNNNNNNNNNNNNNNNNNNNNNNNNNNNNNNNNNNNNNNNNNNNNNNNNNNNNNNNNNNNNNNNNNNNNNNNNNNNNNNNNNNNNNNNNNNNNNNNNNNNNNNNNNNNNNNNNNNNNNNNNNNNNNNNNNNNNNNNNNNAUCCGAAUAGUUAAUUUUCAUCCCUGCAGGGGUGCACCACAUGUCCCGUCACGCUCGAUAACACUGUGGCCAGACAUACUUUUCUGGGGCCUGUCCGGCCUCGGAAUAUCGUCACGUCGCAGCCCCACCUAAGACUAAUGAGAUAGGUCAGCCCGCCGGUCUAAAUCCUAAGCACAAAGGGUUCGUGGGCCCAGUUCCCCUUCGCGCUCCUCCAUGUGGCGUGGGCGGCCGACGUCAGUCCUAGCAUCCCUUAAUCACAAGAGGGAUGCAUCUCGGGACCACUCGGGCGCGCGCCGCUACAUUUGCUGACAUCUAAAAAGCUUUGGCUGAUACCGCGACGCCGAGUACCCAUAAUUCCUCUUGCGUAGCCGGUUAGUGCGAAAAGGUCUCCGACCAACCCAGAUCAAAUACCCAAAUCCAUUAACAUUUUAAUUAGGACAUCAACACAGUCUCACGGGAAUCCACCCGUCUUACAACUAAUCACCAAAGAUCCCAGUAACAUGGUCGAGUAACUGUGUGGUAGUAACAUCGGGGGGAAUCCGAGGUAUCACCCUCGUUGGAUUCCGAAUGAUGUAUCCGUCAAGGUGGGCUUAGAGGAAUCACCCUCGGGGGUCCCACACUUGAGGGGUUGCACGACAGAGGCGUCAUCGGGAAUGGUGAAAGAGGAAUCACCCUCGAUAACCACGACCGACUAGCUAUACUACAGAGAUAUCAUCAGGAGUACUUAGUGAGGUGUCACCCUCGGUACCCGAUAGUAUCUCUGUAGCGUCGUACAACGAAGGGGGUGUAUGUGCGGUGUCGGGUCUGGCUCGUCGAUCAGAGAUCGAGAUUUGAAAACAAGCGGGGCAACUGUACUACGGGGUCGGAGGGGAUGACUGCUCCACCUAUACUAAGCAGAUUUAAAGUACAGGACUGAAAGUAGCAGUUCAUCAAAAAUAGGCUAUACAUCAGAUAUAUGAGCUCACUACAACAGUAGCAAAAAUACUAAUGCAAGCAGUAGGAAGAAAGACAUAGGCGAUAUAGGAAUGAUCAAGGGGGUUUGCUUGCCUUGCUCCUCUGCGGCAAAGGACUGAUCGGCAGGGUCGUAGAUGUACCCGGCAGCAGCGUCAGCCUCGGGGUCUACCGAUAAGAAGAGGGGGAAGAAACAAUAAAUAAUAGCAAUGGUGCAACACAAAGCAUGACAUGGCGAGAUGCAGGCUAGACAUGAGCUAAUGCAGCAACAUCCGUCAUAGACGGGUCGGAAGAAUAUCUGACGAUAUUUUCCGGGUCUCGGGCUACUACCGGUCAUACUCGAAACGAUGGAAAAGUUCCAUGUUUGCUAUGCUAGGGACGCUCGACACACGAACGGGCCGUGUAUCCGGGUUCGUCUCGUUCUGCUGAUCAACUUUCAUGUUGAAAAAUAUUUUGAUCUGACUUACGGAUUAUUUAAUAUUAAAUUUUUAAGUUUUAUUCAAUAAUUAGGAAUUAAAAACAGAUUUGAAUAAUUUAAUAAAAAGUUAUUAUGACAUGAGCAUGAUGGCAUGCUGACAUCAACAUUUGACUAGUCAACUGACCAGCGGGUCCCGAAUGUCAUAGGCACAAGUUUUAAUUAAGAUUAAAUAUUAAUUAAUCAGAUUAAUUUAAUGGGGGACCCACGUGUCAUACUCUAAUUAUUCUAAUUAUCCAAUUAAUUAAUUUAACUAAUAUAUCUAUUUAUUUAUUUAAUAAAAACAUUAACAUUAUUUUUAUUUAUUUUUAAUUAUCGCGUGGGGCCUCUCUGUCAUAGACAGCGGGUGCGUUGGCCCCAUCGGUAAGUGGCUCUAGGCCAAAUACUCGAUUUUAUUCAUAGAUACAUAAUCAUGCAAAUAUCGUAUUCAUCCAAAUAUCUAUAUACGCAAAUACAUACAUCGCAUCUCAUACAUAUCUACAUACAUACAUAAGGCAUCUAAUACAUCUUUUAAUUUAUUUUCUUUUAACUCUCAACACUCCCAUCUCUCUCUGUGUUAACAAAGAGACAAAGAACUCUCUGCUCUAACUCAACAUAGAAGAACACAUCUCCAAAUCUUCCUACAGGUCACUACCGUCGACGGAUCGGAGUUCCGUUUGCCAGAACGGAACCGGGACGGUGAGGGGAACGCGAUGGUGGGAGGAGCCCGAGGAGGGGCUCACCAACGUUGAUGAGACGACCCGGUGAAGCCGGAGUUCUCAUGAGGCGGAGGUGACGGCGGUGAUGGCGCGGUGACGACGGCGGUGUCGGUGACGGUCGUCGGAGAGGGCCACCCGGAGUCGUGGCCGGAGAGGAGAGACCUCCGGUGAAGAAGGGGUCGGCCGGAUCUGGCGAGGGUUGCCCCGGCCUCAAGGGGAGGGAGGCCAGCCGGUCAUGGAGGUCGCCGGAGUUGGUGGCCGGCCGGGUGGGGAGUGGAGGCCGGUGGGGGAGAGGUUGCAGGGGAGCGGUGGUCGCCGGAGUUGACGGGGGGCGGCUGGUCGGGUGGGAGGCAGGGGAAGGGCUCGGCCGGCGGUUGAAGGGGACGAGGGGGCCUUGCUGCUGGCGGGAGGAGGAGGCCGAGAGGGAGAUACGGGAGAGAGAGGAGGUGAGGUGGGAGACAAGGUGGGGGGGUCUGGUGCGUGGGGAGAGAACGAGAGGUGGGGAGGGUGCUGCCGAGAGAGAGAGGAGAGAUCGGUGGGAGGGGGCCCACGAGGGGUUGGUGGGGCGGUCGAGGGAAGGGAGCCCCUGGCGGCGGCGGCUGGGGGAAACGGGAGAGCGGGGGGAGAGCCAGGGGAGCGCGCUAGGGUUUCAGGGCGUGGGUGGGCCGGCUCGGCUGGGCCACUUUGGCCCAGUCGGCCAUGGGGGUGGGGGGGUUUCCUCUUUUUCUUUUUUUUUGUUUUGUUUUGUUUUGUUUUCCUUUUCUAUUAUUUCUUCUUUCUAAUUUCUUUUUUUUUCUUGUUAAUUUCUUUUCUUUUCUUUUCUUUCUUUUAUCAUUAUUAUUUUUAAUACUUUCUUUCUUUAAUAGUUAAUAUGAAUUUAUAAAUAAACUUUUCUUUUGUUUUCAACUUCUGAAUCCGGAUAGAAAUUCAAUGCGGGUCGACGACGGUAAUUCUCGAUGAGGUGGCAUCAUUAGCGGGUGAUCACUGUAGCUUAAUUACAAUAUUCACUGUAGCAAAAGUCGAGGAUGUCACAAACACUUACAUAGAAAGAGAAUAAAACCACCUUAUGAAUCUAUCAUGAGGGCCACUUAUGUAUUCAAUGUCAAGGAUGACAACACGUGGAACUAUGCAAUACACCUAGCUAGGGGAGUAAAAUAAUAACGCUUGUUGGGAGGCAACAUGAUAGUUAUCUUAAUUUUUGCUUUAUACUUUAUGUUUGUUUACGAUGAAAUAAUUGUUUCUCGUGUAAUGAUUGUGUUUUAUGUUUUAAUUAGUGUUUGUGCCAAGUAAAGUCGUUGAAAUGAUUUGCAUGAUGAGUAUAAUAGAUACGGUGCCAAAACAGAAACUUUGACACCAAUUCAGAAUUUAUAUGAUUUUACCGAAAUAUCUUUUUAAUAUGAAUUCUUUACAUAGUACUGAUAUACAAAUUCCUCAGCUAUUACUAAUUUAUCAGAACUUUUAAAGUUGCAUAAUUAUGGCAAUUUAAUAUAUUACUAUAGACUGUUCUGUUUUAAAUAGAUUCUAUUUUUGCAUGCACAGUUUGCUUGUUUUGAUUAUGUUAUGGAUUAUAUCGGGGGCAUAAGCCAUGUAUAAGUUAAAACAGUAUCUUAUGCUAAAAUAAAAUAAGAAUCAAUUUAUACAAUACCUACAAGUGUUUAUUAUGUUGCCUAUAGUAAUGACUCAAAUGAAGUUUUGUUGAGUGUUGUUGGGUUGAAGUUUUCAAGUUUUGGGUAUUAUCUCGAUGGACAAAGUAAUGAGAAGUAGAAAGAGCCUAAGCUUGGUAAUUCCCAAGGAACCACAAGGUAAUAUUCUUGGAAUACUCAAGUGUCUAAGAUUGGGGAUUCCCCGGGAAGGCAUCCCCUCUUUCGUUUCAAUCCAUCAGUAUGUUACUUGGAGCUACAUUUUUACUCAUCACAUGAUAUGUGUUUUGCUUGGGGCAUCAUUCGCUUUCGUUUACUUUUACUUGCAGUUUGCCACAAUAAUUUUUUGCAGGACACACCUAUUAACGAGAGAUACACAAUAAUAAUAAUUUGUUAGAAGACUCUAUGUGCUUCACUUAUAUCUUUUGAGCUUAGCAGUUGCUCUAGUACUUCAUUUAUAUCUUUUUGAGCACGCUGGCAUGUAGAUUUAAUAGAAAUAAUAUGCUCUCAUUCCUCACUUAUAUUUGUUUGAGAAUUAAUAAAUAGUGACGGUAAUUUGCAUGGGUCGUAAUACUAGAUCAAAUAAUGGGUGUUCAAUGAGUGAUAAUAAAACCAUCAUAUAGCACAUAUAGAGAAAUUUUGGUUAAUGAUAUUGAUGUGGUGAUAUGAAAGGGUGUGAGUGCAAAAUCAUUAAUUCAGAGAGGUGUCGAUAUUAAGAGAUGUCAAAACUUCUUGAACAUCAAAAAAAUUAAAAGGGCAUGGUGAUGAUGUGUGAGCAUUUAUAUUCCUCGUUGAAAACCUAGUGUUGUUUCGAGUUGGAGUCGCGCGAUGGUUAAUUCCUACCAACCCUCUCCCUCGGGGCAUGCGAGUAGUACUUUGAUUUGUGAUUAGGCUUAUAAAACUUUGCAAUAACCUAGUGUUCUUUAUGACUAAUGUGACACCAUGGACAUACAUAGUCUUACCUCCUCAUAUUUGCUAGCCUCUCCAGUACCGUGCAUAGCCCAUUCUCACCUCUAGGAUUGGUGCAACUUUUUCCGGUGCAUCCAAACCCCAUGACAUCAUACACUUUCUUACAUAUAAGACUUAUUAUAUCCUCCUCAAAACAGCCACCAUACCUACCUAUUAUGGCAUUUCCAUAGCCAUUUCGAGAUAUAUUGCCAUGCUAAUUCCAUCGUCACUUCACAUGACUAGUUCAUUCAUCAUCAUAUUGCUUUGCACGAUCAUAUAAAGCUGACAUAGUAUUCGUGGCAAAUCAAAUGUUCAUAAUAGCAUUUGUGGCAAAGCCACCAAUUAUCAUAUGUUGAAUACAUAUCAUGCUAGAUCAUUGCACAUCCUCGUACACUGCGAGAGGCGUUCAUAUUUGAGUCAUGUUGCUUCAUUGUUCAUCAAAUCCAAUGAUCGUCAUUAUUGGAGCAUUCUCCCAGUGAGGAAAUAAAGAUGGGGGAGGACAAAUUAACCCACCAUAGAAAAAUGAGAGAAAAAGAGAGAAGGGAAUUUGCUACAAUCCUUUACCGCACUUGCGCCUCAAAGUGGCACCAUGCUCAUCAUGUAGAUAGUCCCAUGUUAUAUCAUUCAUAUGCUAGUGGUAAUCAAAAUUUUAUAAACUUGGCUUGUAUAUUUUGAUGACAGGCUUCCUCAAACACAAAAGGUCUUCAUGAGCAAGCAAGUUGGAUGCACACCCACCUAGCUUCAGCGGAGCUUUCAUACACUUAUAGCUCUAGUGCAUCAUUUGCAUGGCAAUCCCUACUCAUUGUGUCAAUAUCUAUCGAUGGGCAUCUCCAUAGGCCCUUUGUACGCCUAGUUGAUACGAGACUAUCUUCUCCACUUUUGAACCCCUUUGAAACCCACCACCUUAUUCUAUUCCACCUAUAUGUUGUGUCCAAUGGUUCACACUCAUGUAUUGCGUGAAGAAUAAAAAGUUGAGGCAUUGGAAAGGUACGAUCCAAUUGCCUCACUUGAGCACUGUGGUGCUUGCCAUUUGUAGUUAUGUGGUGAAGAUGGAGCCAUGUCUUGCUAAUAUAAUAAAGAUGGCUAGGGGUGAAACUAUCUUUGAGGAUCGUACACUUUGAAAAAUUAAUUGUUUUGCUGCCUAUACUUAUAAAUAUUGAUGUGUUAAUAUUUGUUAAUUCAUCAUUUCUCAAUGAGCACACAUGCAUAAGAUUGCAUCAUGGGUAGCAUCUCACAUCAAAAAAAAAUAUUUUUAUUAUUUACCUACUCGAGGACGAGCAGGAAUUAAGCUUGGGGAUGCUUGAUACAUCUCCAAUGAUCUAUAAUUUUUGUCUGUUCCAUGCUAUUAUGUUAUCAUUUCAGAACACUUUUUAUGUACCUAUCUGCCAAUUUAUAUUAUUUUUGAGCACUAACCUAUUGACCAGUGCCAGUGUGAGUUGCUGUUUUGUGCGUGUUUUUCCACUUUUCCGGUUUUCAGUACCAACGAAGUCCAUUUGACUUGAAACUUUUUGUGAAUUUUUUCUGGACCAAAUAAGACCGUUUAGCAUCGGAAGAAGGCACGAGGGUGCACGAGGGCCCCACAAGCCAACAGGGCGCGCCAGGGGGCGCGCUGAUGGCUUGUGGCCCCCUCGUGGCUCUUCCGACUCAGUUAUCUGGCCUAUAAAUUCCCAUCUGCCCUAAAACAUCGAGGGAGGUCCCGAAACAAUUUUUACGUCGCUGCAAGUCUCUAUUCUGAUGGGAUGCCAUCUAGAGCUCUGUUCCGAGACUGCGUCGAAGGGGGGUCGAUCACGGAGGGCUUCUUCAUCAACCUUGCUGCCCUCAUGAUGAUGUGUGAGUAGUUCACCACAGACCUACGAGUCCAUAACGAGUACCUAGAUGGCAAUUUCUCUCUUUUUGAUCUUCAAUACAAUGAUGAUCGCAUCUUUGCUUUGAUCCAUAUGAUCUAACUCUUUUGUACGGUGCGUUUGUUGGGAUCCAAUGAAUUGCGUGUUUAUGUUCAGAUUAUUCAUGAUAAAUAUUUGAGUCUCCUCUGAUAUAUAAUAUGAUUCUUAUGUGCUUGACUAUGAUAGAUUCAUAAUUCUCUCCGAUCUAUUGAAAUAGUUUGGCCAACUAGAUUGAUAUUUCUUCGGUGAGAGAGGUGCAUUGUAGUACAUCCAACCUGGCGAGUUUCUACCCAGUGACAGAAGGGGACAAGUUGCAUCUUUGUAUUGCUGCUGCUAAGGGUAAAACAAUGGGGUUUAUUCAUAUUGGUUGAGUUUACUUUGUCUACAUCAUAUCAUCUUUCUCAAAGCAUUACUUGAUUUGUCAUGAACUUAAUACAUAGAGGGGCAAGCAUAGAAGCGUUCUUGAAGUAAAGUAAUAGUAAUAGGUGCAAGCAGGAGUCGGCCUAUUUGUUUAUGGAAAUGAUGCCUAUAUUUACAUGAUCAUUGCCGUGAAAAUCGCAUAUCUAUCCGCUCUUCUAUCAAUUGCCGAGCAGAAAUUUGUUUACCCGUCAUGUGCUAUUUUUAUGAGAGAUACCAUUAGGGAAAACUAUGGCCCCCGGGUCUAUUCACAGCAUAGUGCUAAAACCUCCAUUACCUUGCUGCCAUUUAUUUGCUCCUAUUUUAUUUUACAUUUUACAAUUGUCUACAAUUAUCUACACAUCUCAUUUACUUGCAAAUAACGAGACCAAGGGGAUUGACAACCCUCUUGCUCGCGUUGGGUGCAAGCUGUUUGUUCUUUUGUGUGCAACCACUCAAGACGGUUGUGUUUGAUGUUCCUAUUGGUUCGAUAAACCUUGGUUUCAUAACUGAGGGAAAUACUUACCCGCAUUGUGCUAUGAUAACCCAUUCCUCUUCAUGGAAAACCCAACGCAGAUCACAAGUAUCAAGGCCCCAUGGCUCGAUAGCCAUUGGAGAUGGACAUAUACGUUGUCCUCUCAAUCUCCGAGAGGCCAAGGCAUGCCAAACAAGCUAUUGUACUGAGAUAAGGACUCGUCCAUGGCCAGUCGAUAUCGCCAUCGAGGUUAGUUAUACGAACUUAGAUAUCUUUCCUCCAUUGCAUUGUGUGUGUGCGACCAUUGAUGAUUACAAUUCUAAUGAAGAGUGGUGUUGUAGGCUGCUCUUGAGAAAGAGAGAGCGAGAACCCAGGUGCUUGUGGAAGAGAGGGACCGGGUGACGGCGGAGAAGGAAUUGGCCGUAGAGGAGAAGACGACUCGGUUGUUUAGGGAGAAGAGGACACGAAAUGAGACGGCUCACUGGUCCAUGUACGAGCUCCUCGUGGUAAGUUUCUUCGGCACAUGAGCCAAAUCAUGCACGUAAAUGUUCGUUUCAUUACUAACUAAUAUGACUCACUCAUCAAAACCAAAUGUGCAGUCUGUGUGUGACAAGACCGGUCACACCCCUCCGCUGAUGCUAGUCAUUAUUGCGGCGGGAACGGUGAGUUUCAUUUGAAUGGUCAUUAGUUACUAGUCUUAACAUUUGAGUGUCAUCAUGCUAACGAGACACUGCUAAUGAUCUUUGGUGCAACAUAAAUCUCGAGCCGCACCGCACACCCCUUCUUCAGGUGAAUCCGGUCCGAGGAACCCCGGUCCUUCACCCCCGUGAUGAUGAGGACGGUACGUUUUCUCUAAUGCUUUGCUUAAAAAAUGCAUACUUAGCUUCGUACAUGCUAGUUAGCCCUAUCAUGCCACAUACUUAGCUUAUUUUGCCCCAAAUGACAUACUCAGCUAAUUAUCCUUCAAAAUGACAUAAUUAUAUUAUCUAGUUCAUUUAUGACAUAACUAGCUUAGUUAGAUCAAAAAUGGCAUACUAACCUUGGUUAUCUCAUAAGUAUCAUAUACUUAGCUUAUUUUCCUCUAAAAUAACAUAAUAAGCUUAGUUAGCUCUAAAAUGGCAUAAUCAUCUAAGUUAGCUCUAAAAUGAUACAAAUAAAGAAGAAAAAGAAGAAAAAGAAGGAAGAGGAGAAAAAGACAGAAUAGAAGAAGAAAGAGAAGAAAAAGAAAGAAUAAAAGAAGAAGAAUAAGAAGGAAAAGGAUAAAAAUAGAAGACAUAACAAGAAGAAAAUAUAUUCUUAUUCUUCCUUUUUAUCUUAUUUCUUUUUCUCCAUCUUCUACUCCUUCUUCUUAUUCUUAUGCUUAUUCUUCUUCUUUCUUCUUCUUCUUUCUUUCUUCUUCUUAUUUUUCUUCUCUUUCUUCUUCUUCUUCUUCUUCUUCUCCUUCUUCUCCUUCUUCUUCUUCUUCUUCUUCUUCUUAUUAUUAUUAUUAUUAUUAUUAUUAUUAUUAUUAUAGUCUUCUUUUUCUUCUUCUUCUAACUUUCUUACUCCCAUUUUUGCAGAUUUGAUUCUCUUCAUCGAAGCUGGCAUUGAUGGAAUGGUAGUGUUUAAUUUUUGUUUUGAUUUGUAUUGAUGAACAAUGUGGAACUAUGCAUGUACAUAUGGAUGAAGAGUGUGAAACUAUGUAUAUAUUAGUUCUUUUAAUAGCAUAUGUGAUGUCUUGUUCAAUAUUUCACGAUGAUGUUAGAUACCUGUCCUAUGCUUCUUUGAAACUAUAUAUAUCAUAUAUGUGUUGUGAAAAUACAGGGAAAAAAUGAAAACAGACAAAAAAGUGGCAAUACAAGCACUUUGCUGUCUGCCAGCGGACGGCAAAGCCCUUUGUCGUCGGUCGGCAGACGACAAAGGUGCCAUGUGGCGGCAACCUGUGCAACGUGGGAGCACCAGGUCUAACCCAUUUGGCCAUCUUGCCAUCAGCUGGCAAACGGCAGACGACAAAGACAUAUCUGGCAGAUGGCAAAAAUGGAGGAGUGACGUGCAGCCACAUGACUGCUGACAUCAAAGGGCAGGCGACAAAGACAAGUGCUCGUUGUCGUCAGCACGCACGCAGAAAAGUCUGUCGUUAGACACCUAACGAGGCUAACAGCUAUACUUUGUCGUCCAUCACCUUUGCCGUCAUCUUGGAUAGGGAGACCGACUGGAAACGUCUUUGUCGUCCGCUGUGGUUUUCCAGACGACAGAGUAGCUAAUUACCGCGAUUUAGAGUGCUACAAGUUGGGCCGUCAGCCAGCAGACGACAAAGGUAUUUGCCAUCUUUGACCUUGUACUUUGCCAUCCGCUAUGGCACACGACAAAGAAACUAAUUCUUGUAGUAUUUCUACACUCCUCUCGGCAAACCAUGUAUAAUAACGUGCCUAUCGAGAACGUCAUAUUUGGCACCCAUGACACUUUGCACGUAGAUGAAUAUUCAACGUUGUUUCUCACAAAAUAAUUCAUUUUUAUAUUUAUUUUCUGAUAAUUAUUUUCUCAUUUUAUAAUGCAUCAACAUAGGGGAGUAAAAAAAUCCAUGCCCGUUGUAACCAACUUUCAACUAAGAUGUGCAUGUGACCCUAAAAAUAGAUGUUUAUGUACUUUUGCCAUCUUUGUUGUAUUGUAAUGUAUAACUAAAAUGUAUGCACCGCACAUCGUAACAACAGAGGGAUCAUCUCUUCAGUUUACUCAUCAACGGUUCAUGUGUCGUCGUAUGCAUUUUCACAUUCCGACUCCAACUUUCAGUACCAACAAUGACUAAGUAACUUGCACAUUACAUGUAACAUAUGUUGCAUAUUGAUACGCUUUAUCUCUACUCUUAAAGGGGCAGUUGGUAGCCGGCGUUCAUCGGUUUUCUUUCGUUCAUCGUCCCACCACUGCUUGGUUUUUUUCGUCUCCCACCUCCCACAUUCGUUGGUAGCUUUCGUUCUCGGUUUAUUUUCGUCAUCCCUCCCACAUUUAGUUUUCUUUCGUACAGUUCUUUUUCUCACUCCGCCACCCUCUCACGUACUCAGCGAUUUUAUUUCAGGUACGUCCACCUCCCACUGAUUGUUUUCUCUCCGCAUCCCUUACUCUCGAUCUCAUCUCUCCUCGAGCAGAGCAGCGAAGCCUAGAUGGUCGCCGCUACCGGCGGUGCCUCCAUUGCCUCCCCCUUGCCUCCAUCUCCAGCCUAUCGCGCCACUAAAACCCUAACCUACAUGCCCCAGGCUGCCCCUCGCACCAGCGCCGCGCCUCCUUGUGCGUGCACGGUGCCUUCCAUGACCACCAACGAUAGCAAGCACCGGCAGAGCCCGCACGGCCGCACCUCCACUGUCCAUCGCGCCCUCGGGUUUGCCCUAGACAUGGAUAUCUUUUCCCUUAUAGGCGGCCACAGAUCUCCUGCUCCAGUUCCAGAUCCAUGGCAGCAGAGGCAACUCAAAGAAAAACGUAGGGGGCGGUUCCGUUUGCUGGCAGUUCAUCAUUGGGUCUACUUCUUCGUCUGUUCCCAUCAACAUCUCACGCGGCAUGUGCACAGAAAUGUGAUGUCAUGGAGGAGGCAAGGGUAGAUAGGAGUAAGAACACUGAGGGCCCUCCUCUCAGUGGUAGUGACGAGCGUAGGAGUGGAAGCGCAUCAUCUCAACAAGUAGGAUGUCAGGUAUGUUUGCUUGAGUGUGCUUUUUCUUUAAUCUUUUGGUGAUUAUCCAUCCUCUGGUGCAUCACUUUAGUUUCUUGAACACCAUGACAUAGGUCGUGAAGGUGCCCUAGAUAGAGAGAUGGAAGAGAGGACGUGCAUAUGAACAUUGCGACACCUAUGAUUGAGACGCUUGGUAAGCCUGCUAAUGAGCUACAUACUGCUAGGAGACGUAAUGUCCAAAUUGUCAUGGAUUGUAGACUAUGGGUGUUGUGUUGCUAUUGAAAAUAUUAUGAUUCACUUCAAAAAGGUUUCAGGUUUGUUCUUGAAUUCCCUUCAGGAUGUUCAUGAUGUGCUCUUUAUAAUCGGGUUUAAAAUUCUGGAGUGUGUACUAUCAGUUAGUUCUGCCUGAUUAUUUCUGACUCAUUUCUGACGCAAUUGGAAUCCAUUGGGUUUAAGAUAAUCAAUGUCACCGUGUGUGUGCGACUAGCUAAAUUCAGUUAUGUCGUUUCAUCAAAAGACUUAUGUUUCUUAUGUGUGUGCGACCGUAGUUGCCAUCAUCAUUACCUUGCGUGUAAACGGACAAUGUAUUACCUGAGUCGGGUUUCGGCUCAAAUUGCAUUGUGAAUAGAAUUGCAUAUGUUAACUACUUGUUGCCUACUCUGUUCCUAUAUGGUGCAACAAUUGUUUUCUUUUUUAUCAGAUGAAUAAGUCCUCUGAUAGUUUGGGAUAAAUUGAGAGAAUCCGAUGUAUAUUAUUCCUAUGUGAUGACGUGUUGUCAAUCAGAUUCCGACUUCCAGCACCAAAACAAAGUUAUCUAUGGGGUUCUCUCAGGAGAGCUUCCCUAUCCACUUUCUUCCAUGUGUGUUCCCAAGUUCCCAUUCAUUCUUUGGUUUGGGCGGUGUACAGUUUGAUGUAUGCCCCUAUGAUUUUUUGUAUGAACUCCAGAAUGGGGAAUUGAUCUUUGGGGAUGGAUUUACUUUCAUGGUAGAUGAUUCGAGGAUGCAUUUUUCUUAUCCACACUUUUCUCUGAUGACAUGGAAGGUUGAGCUUAGGCUCUUUAUUGUGGGUAGCUUGACGUUGUUGAGGUACCUAACUCUAGAUGUGAGUACUAUUUUUCCUGUGCGGUUGCUUGAUGAAUUGUAUAGAUAUAUUUUUUUCUGGCCGCUGUUCCAAAUUAUGGCAUUUGAUAUUUAUGCAACUUCAAGCUUUGUUUUAUUGUGCUUGAUGAUAGUAGGUCUUUGUACAACUUCAAGGUUUAUUUUCUUGUGUUCGAUGAUAGUAGGGCUGAGUAAAUUAUUGUGACACCCUGAUGUGCAUAUCCUUGUCUUUUCAGGUUUCCUUGGUUGCUAACACCUAAGUUUCCAUACCAUAUAUAUCAGUGGGUGCCCAAUCCAUCAACUACACUAGCCUGAUGAACAUUUAUCCCGAAGAGUUGGAAGUAGCGCAAUGAUGACUGUAAGAUAAUGCUGAUGAUCUGGUUGGUGGAUGUUUCGUGGUUGCUUCAAUGGCGAGGAUCAGAUAGUUCUCUUCAAAGAUGAUAUCGCCGACACAACACCUGCAGCUUGCAGAUCCCACAUCACGAACCAGAUGCUAACGACGAACCGGACAACCUAUUGCAAGUUGAACAUCUAAAGAAGGUUCUUGUCGUCCUCCAUAUUAGGUAACAAUUUCUUCUAUUUACUAUAGUUGAGUUGUUUGUGUUAAUUUUCAAGCGAAGAUUAUUACAAAGUUAUGUCGCAUGUGUGCUCGUAAUUUCAUCUUUCUAACUAAAUGAUGAAUCUAAUAAAUUUUUCAUUGUUAGAAUGUUGCACCUGAAGUUCUGGCAGUUAUUUUUUCAUUUGCAGUUUGCAACUAAUCUUUUGGACUUCUAAGUUGUACUUUUGUAACUUUUAGCAGUAAACACUUAUGUUCAUAUUUUUUUUCUUCAAUGAGUUCUUUUGUAUUCUUGUCAUCUUUUACAUAAAACUAUUGUGGUUUAUUUCAGUUCAGUGUGUGGUAAUCGGCAACAGUCAAGUUAACAAAUCUGAAGCAUUUUAGCAAGGAAACGGUGCAAGUGCACUUUUGGUGGAAGAUGAAGCUUUUGUUGGGCUUUUGAUGUUUUUUCUGAAGAAUACCUGUCGUGGGUAUAAGUCUAACAGUAGAUGUGUAGGGUACGAAAGGAUGGGCAGAGCCUUAGCUACGGCGAGGUUGUAUGAGUUCAGGCCCCUCUACGGUGGAGGUAAAAGCCCUACGUCUCAGUGCUCUUGGGAGCUUAGUGUCGAGUGGAAUAUGGGAUUACAGUAAAAGCCAACCCCUNNNNNNNNNNNNNNNNNNNNNNNNNNNNNNNNNNNNNNNNNNNNNNNNNNNNNNNNNNNNNNNNNNNNNNNNNNNNNNNNNNNNNNNNNNNNNNNNNNNNNNNNNNNNNNNNNNNNNNNNNNNNNNNNNNNNNNNNNNNNNNNNNNNNNNNNNNNNNNNNNNNNNNNNNNNNNNNNNNNNNNNNNNNNNNNNNNNNNNNNNNNNNNNNNNNNNNNNNNNNNNNNNNNNNNNNNNNNNNNNNNNNNNNNNNNNNNNNNNNNNNNNNNNNNNNNNNNNNNNNNNNNNNNNNNNNNNNNNNNNNNNNNNNNNNNNNNNNNNNNNNNNNNNNNNNNNNNNNCAGUAAAAGCCAACCCCUACACCAGUGGGGAAGAGCGGCUUAUAUAGAGUGCGCUGCCUUCCACAACGUCCCGGUGGACAGGGGUGGAAUAGUGGCGAAUAAAUGCCUACGUUACAGGUAACGUAUGCCUUAAAUGCUAAUAAUGGUGUAUGAAAACGUGUGACUGUUGCCCUCCUGGGAGGUUACGAUGUACAGAGUGGAAUUCAGUCGGUACAAUAAAUAUGCUCCAAAUGCUCAUCACCGACUGGAUGAUGGGGGUCCUUAGUUCAGUCGGAACUGUCUAAGGGCCUUGCCCUCUAUGAAGGGUAGUCCUUAGGUAGGACCUAUAGGGCAGGCCUAUGACCCUACCCUGGGACUAUAACCCCAUCAUUAGUCCCCGAAUGGGUUGGGGUUGGAAUGACGAAGUGAUGCCUGGAGUACGGAUCCGACUGGUAUGGAUGUGACUUUGGCGUUGUUUGCCUCGAUCCAUUUUAUCCUUUCGACCAGUGAUCCGAGUGAAUAUACCAGUGAAACGAACCGUCACGGACCGAGUGCUUCCACGGAAUCUUUCGAUGUGACCGGUCAAACUGACAGCGGCAGAUUUUCUGGGAUCCUCAAAUUUCGGUUGUCGCGCGCUCAGGGGGGAUGUCGACAUCGCCAUCGAGUAGUUUCUGCCGCCUCGAUUACCGCGUUGUUAUCUUCUCCACUAACAUCGCAGCAGCCGGUCGGGGGAUAAGAUUUCGGGGCCACCUAUUAUUGACCCAGUCAGAACCUUAUUUAAGCCUCUCUGGCGGGGGUUUCCUGUUGCGCUGCCCUUGUUACUCGCACUCGCCUUGCUUCUCCCGUAGCUCCCUGCGCGUUCCAAGCCUCCUCCUUCCUCUCCUCCUCUGUGGAUCUGCUGCCUUCACCAUGACGAAGGAGCAGACGAGCAAGCUCAAGUCGCAGAAGAAGAAGAAGGCGGCGGCCCCUGCUCAGCGGCGAUAGCGAGCACUACUGGCGGGUUGGAUCCAGGGGGAUUUCCUCCCCUCCACGGUGACGGCGGACGACCUGCAGGAGCUGGUGGAGCAAGGCAUGAUUGCCAACAAGUCGUGGAGGCUGCCAGCGGAGGGCGAGACGGAGCCGGCACCGCAGGAGGGAGAGCGCGUCUUGCUGCUCAGCCACGUGUACAGGGGCUUCUCCUUGCCUCCCCACCCCUUCUUUAGAGGUAUUAUGAAUCACUUCGGGGCGCAACUCCAUCAUUUUCCUCCCAACGCGAUAGCCCAUCUCGCCGCAUUCGUCACUCUGUGCGAGUGCUUUAUUGGAUGCCCCCCAUUGGGGGCUCUUUAAGUACAUCUUCUCCGCUAGGUCUCACACUGUCAAAAAGCUUAGCCAGUCGGACGAUAAAACCCAUCUCCUCCAGCUCUGCGGGGGCUUAGGCUUCCAAAAGAAAACAAAGAGUAGCUACCCCCCUCUCCAGCUGUCCGAGUCAGUUAGGAACUGGUAGUCGACCUGGUUCUACUGCCAGGACAUAGCUUGUCCGAAUGCCGCGACUGGGUUGCCGCCCUUUAGACUAGACCGUCCGGCCCCUCCCAGGCAGCUUGCGCUCUCAAAGUUGGAAAAGAUCCAGAUCCAAUCUCUGGUCGACGCGCUGAUAGCUGUCGUCCGCAAGGGAGUCACCGGCACAGAUUUGCUGGAGACAUUUCUGGGUCGGCGCAUCCAGCCGCUGCAAGCCCGACACCACGCCAUGUGGCACUAUGUGGGGCCCGAGGAUUCCACUCGGACUCAUCCAGAGUGCGUGACCGGGGAGACCGUGACAGCGUGGGUCCGCGGCAUUACAGGCGCAUGCGACAACCCCCAAGGAGCCUGACGAGUGAGGCCCUUCCGCGCCGACAAUCCUCCUCCGAAUGAGGUGAGUGCAUCUUGUCGAGUGCCUUCAAUCUUCUUAGAUCUAUCGCUUUUCUUGUAUCACCGCCUGACGUUCGACGUUGCCGACUGUGUUUUGUGCAGGAGUGGACCAACUGGCAUUCUCCCGUCUCGAACGGGAAUCCCACUUGAGGAAGAGGAGGGCAGCCAGGAGGGUAGCGUGGAUAGCGCCGAGUACGUCUCCGACAGUGGGGAGACGGAGGAGGAGUCUAAAGAGGAGGAGGGGGUUGGGGAGCAGAGCUCGCCACCUCCACCAUCAGAGCCUCGAACUAAGCGUCGUCACGAACCCGCGGCUCCGCCGGCUCCUCCAGCAGCUCCGAGUGCUCCGGCUGCUUCUCCCGUGGCUCCGAGUGCUCCGCCAGCUCCUCCCGUGGCUCCGAGUGCUCGGAGCGUGAAGAGGACCAGGGACGCUGCUGCCGAGCCCACGGACCAACCGUCCAAGGUGCCAAACCGAGUGGGUCCAAGCCUCGGAAAGCUUUGCCUCGGAUAAGGAUCACUGUUCCAGUUGCCUCAGCGUAAGUGUCUUGUUCUCCCAUCUUCUUUCAGUAUUUGAUUGAACUCAUGCUUAUCGGUCGAGUGGAUUUUACUCGACGGAGCUGCUACCUCCGCCACCUCUCUGCCGCGCCAGGACGAUGAUCCCAUGGAUAUGGAUAACGCUGCCACAUCCCAGCAAGGUAUGUUGUGACGACUCCGAGAGUUUGCAUUAUUGUUUCGCGAGUGUUGUCUUUAAUCUUGCCCUAUUUCUGCAACCUCAUGUUGUUCAGUCGGGCUUCCUUCGGAGGUGAUUCAUCUGGAGGAGGACGACCAAAGGGGAUCAGGGUCAACUUUGGCUCCUGUCCUUGAGGUUGUUCCAUCUGCUGCUGCUCCCACCAUGGACACGCCGCCGACCGAGCCGAUGCCGUCGACUGAGGCAGUGCCCCUCGCAGCGGAACCGACUGGAGCGGGACAUGGGAUGCCCAAGGAGUCUUCUAUCGUGCCAGGUCCAUCGACCGUCCAGUACGACGCCCGACACCUCCCGGAAGACCAAGUUGGAGCCGCCAAGGAGGCCAUGGUGCAGGUGGAGUUGAUGGUGGGUGAUGCCAAGGGAGCGUACGACUCCAUCGCGUCUUUGUACAAGAGAAGCUUGGAGCUCCGAGACGAUAUCCGAGUAAGUGCGCUAGUAAGUGUUUACUUUCCUCUUGUAGCCCACUAGGGGUUUAAGUGAUAUACUCGGAUACAGUAGGAUUAUUUUGUAGUGGGUUCACUCAGAGUGAACCUAGUGGGUGUAGUCCCCGAGACUUCUGUCGAUUGCUUGCACCGGCAGUUGUCUUUAUAUGUAUUUCUCGUUAUCUAAGCAGAUCAGAGCUGGUCUGCCCGAAUAUUACUACUGGGGGCAAUCGGAGUGCAUCCACUGGAUGUAGUCCCCGAGAGUAGUGUUACUCAGGUCGGGUAAUAGCAUUCUCGUAGAUUUGUCUGUUUGUCAUGUAGCUCAAUAGGGCCGGCCUGUUCGAGCUUCAUGCCAGUGGGGUCACUCUUAGUGAACCCACUAGGUGUAGUCCCCGAGACCGCUGUCGAGUGCUUGCAUCGGCAGGGGUCUGAAUAACUUUGAGCUUUGUUUGUUUUCCUUGUUGAAUGUGUCUGAGCUUCCCUUUGCGCUGAUUUGGCAGAAGACUUGCGAAAUGGGAUCCGCGUACAAUGCUCUGAAGUCUGAAAAGGUUCAUCUUGCUGCGGAAUUGGAGGCGGCAGUGAAUGACUUGGCUGGUGUGAAGGGGGCUCUUACUGACCGAGAGAAGUAUUUGGAGGAGUCCCGGGAGACCAACAAGGCAUUGGUGGCUGAAAUUGAGAAAAUGGGCAAGCAAAGAACUGAACUGAUGGGUCAGAUGAAGGUGAUGAACCGUCGAUGCAUUUCGCAGGAGAAGUAUGUCAACGACUGGGCAAGGAAGAUGAUUGCACUGCUCGGUGGUAAGAUUUUUGCCGAGUGCUUCUUGACUUUGUAAUUCAUUCUGCGCUUACUUUCCGCUCGUCUUUUCUUUGCAGAUUUUUGUCUGUACGCUGAGGCUGAAGCAGCCGACAUUGAACGGUCGGUUGUUCCGAACGUUUCACUCGGCGACGAAGCCAAUCAGGACAUGCUCCGAGCACAUAUUCCCCUUGGCAGAGUGGGACCUUUCAUCCGCCGUCUGAGAGAAGUCAUCAGCCGGAUCGACAAGGAGCUGUGGCCCGAAGACGAUUCCCGGCAGGAAAUAGAAGGGUUGAUGACUCGGCUGGAGGACGUCCCGAACAGAGUGGAGGCAUGGAAGAAGUCUGCCGCUCGUUGUGGUGCGGACGUGGCGCUAUCGCUGGUCCGAAUGCACUGCAAGGAAGCUCGCAAAGAAAAGUUGAAGGCGUUGCAGGUCGCCAACACCAAGAACCUUCGAUUCGAAGAUUUGAUGGAGACCUUCCUGGAGACAGCCACUCGUAUCGCGGACGGGAUCGACCUUGAGACCUUUGUGGAGCCUGCCAGUCUCGGUGCCAGUCCUGAUGACGCUUGAAAAACUUUACCUCGGUAUGCCGAGUGGUAUCUGUAUCAAACUUUGGCCACUGCUGUUGGCCGUCACAUUUGUGGUUCGGUGUGGAUAAGCUUGAUUCACACCGAGCCGAUCCAACUUUGAAUUCGAAUCGAAUAUUUUGCUCUUCUUUCGCCAAGUUUUUUUUUUUGACACGAUUUUGGCUCGUGGUUUUUGUUUUGCGUUUCUUGGUGAAGCCAAUGGCAAACAUGCGGAGCAUGUAAUUGUCAGUUCUCUUCACAUCCACAUGAGCCUCAAUGAGGGUCUGCUAAGCCUCCGAGUGGAUAUCGAGGAUACACACGAAGGAAGCUUUUUACUUAGGCGAUUCUGGAUCGCAGCUAAGUCCCCGAGUGCGNUGCUAAGCCUCCGAGUGGAUCUCGAGGAUACACUCGAAGGAAGCUUUUUACUUAGGCGAUUCUGGAUCGCAGCUAAGUCCCCGAGUGUGGCUUUCGUGCGCACUCGGAGCAAGCUUUUUACUUAGGCGAUUCAGGGUCGCAGCUAAGUCCCCGAGUGCGGAUUUUGGCGCACACUCGGAGAGAGUUUUUUACUUAGGCGACUCUGGGUCGCAGCUAAGUUCCCGAGUGCGGCUGUUAGCGCAUACUCGGAGCGAGUUUGUACUUAGGCGAUUCUGGGUCGCAGCUAAGUCCCCGAGUGCGACUUUUAGUGCACACUCGGAACGAGUUUGUACUUAGGCGAUUCUGGGUCGCAGCUAAGUCCCCGAGUGCGGCUGUUAGCGCACACUCGGAGAGAGUUUUUUACUUAGGCGACUCUGGGUCGCAGCUAAGUCCCCGAGUGCGACUGUUAGCGCACACUCGGAGUGAGUUUGUACUUAGGCGAUUCUGGGUCGCAGCUAAGUCCCCGAGUGCGACUUUUAGUGCAUACUCGGAGAGAAUUUUUUACUUAGGCGACUCUGGGUCGCAGCUAAGUCCACGAGUGCCGCUGUUAGUGCACACUCGGAGAGAGUUUUUUACUUAGGCGACUCUAGGUCGCACCUAAGUCCCCGAGUGCGGCUGUUAGCGCACACUUGGAGAGAGUUUUUUACUUAGGCGACUCUGGGUCGCAGCUAAGUCCCCGAGUGUGGCUGUUAGCGCACACUUGGAGAGAGUUUUUUAGACCGGAGUCUGCAAACGCGGAAGAAUUUUGGACCUGCAAAAAAUCGGUCUGCUUUAUAUUACUUCAAUGAUACUUGUUCUUUACAUUGCCUCCGUCGGCGGUCACGUGUAGAAGCGCUUCAGGAGAUCUCUGUUCCAUGCUCGCGGCUCGUCCGUUUCCCUGUCGAGGUUGUAGAGUCGAUAUGCUCCGUUGUUCAGCACCUUAGAGAUGAUGAAGGGUCCUUCCCAGGCGGGAGCCAACUUGUGAGGCCUCUGCUGGUCCACUCGGAGCACGAGGUCGCCUCCUUGGAAUGUGCAACUCCUGACAUGUCGCGCGUGAAAUUGCCGCAGAUCUUGUUGAUAAAUUGUUGAGCGAGUCAGUGCCAUAUCGCGCUCUUCUUCUAGUAGAUCCACUCCGUCUUGCCUGGCUUGCUCUGCUUCGGCUUCGGAGAAGAGUUCGACUCGUGGAGAGUUGUGAAGCAAGUCACUCGGAAGGACCGCCUCUGUCCAUAAACGAGGAAGAACGGGGAUCGCCUUGUAGAUCUAAUCGGAGUUGUGCGGAGGCCCCACAACACUGAAGGCAGCCCAGUGACCCAUGUGCCGGUGGCAUGUCCAACUUCUCGUAGGAGUCGAGGCUUCAACCCUUGAAGAAUAAGUCCGUUUGCCCGCUCUGCUUGCCCCUUGGUUUGGGGUGCGCCACAGAUGCAAAAUCCACUCGGAUACCUUGGCCUGUGCAAAAACCUUUGAAUCUGUCCGAGUCAAAGUUUGUGCCAUUGUCAGUGAUUAUGCUGUGCGGGACUCCGAAUCUGGAGAUGAUGUCUCUGACAAAUUUGAUGGUCGUAAGGGCGUCGAGCUUCUUGAUGGGCUUAGCUUCAAUCCACUUGGUGAACUUGUCGACUGCCACCAACAGAUGAGUGAAUCCCCCUUGGCAUGUUCUGAAUGGACCAACCGUAUCUAAUCCCCACAUUGUGAACGGCCAAACAAGAGGGAUUGUCUUCAGUGCAGAUGUUGGCUUGUGGGACUUGUUCGAAUAGAACUGACAGCCUUCGCAUCGAUCGACCAUAUCCAUUGCCAUUUCAUUCGCCUACAGCUAGAAGAAACCGGCUCUGAAUGCUUUGGCGGCGAUUGCUCUUGAGGAGGCAUGAUGGUCGCAGGUUCCCGAGUGAAUUUAUUCCAGGAUCAACUGUCCCUCCUCAGGGGAGAUGCAUCGCUGAAGGACGCCUGAAACACUUUCCUUGUACAACUAACCAUCAAUGACGGUGAAGGACUUCGACCUGCGGACGAUCUGCCUCGCUUGGACUUCGUCCUCUGGUAAUUCUUGCCUCAGGAUGUACGCAAUGAACGGCAAGUCAGUCGGAUCUGUUGAACUCUUCUGUUGUACCGGUUCCUUUGUAAAAGGAUCUUCCUUCACCGAAUGGAGAUGUAGGUGCUCGAGGCAGACAUCACUCAGGACUGGUCUCCGAGUGGAUCCGAGUUUUGCCAACUCAUCAGCUGCUUGGUUCUUCAGUCGCGGAACAUGGUGCAGUUCCAGACCUUCAAACUUCUUCUCGAGCUUCCUUACUGCGUUGCAGUAUGCAGUCAUGGUGGGGUUCCUGACAUCCCACUCAUUCAUCACUUGAUUAACCACCAAACCUGAAUCACCAUAGACCAUCAGGCGACGGACGCCGAGUGUGAUGGCCAUGCGCAAUCCGUAAAGGAGAGCUUCAUACUCUGCCUCAUUGUUGGAAGAAUCGAAAUGUAUCUACAACACAUACUUAAGCUUGUCACCUUUUGGCGAUACGAUCACUACGCCAACGCCGGAGAGCCAUUCAACAUCUUGGACCCAUCGAAGAACAUAGUCCAAUGAGCCGAGUAGAUGUGAGUCGGUUGCUGUUGUUCUACCCAUUCUGCUAUGAAGUCAGCCAGAGCUUGAGACUUUAUAGCCUUCUUGGCUUCAAACUUGAUGUCGCAGUAUAACAUCUCCAUUGCCCACUUCGCCACUCGGCCUGAUGUGUCUCGAUUGUGGAGGAUUUCCGACAAUGGAGCAUCAGAAAUGACGGACACCGAGUGGUCUUGGAAAUAAUGAGCCACCUUCUUCGCAGUCAUGUAAAUCCCGUAAAUAAGCUUUUGAUAAUGGGGAUACCUCUGCUUGGAAGGAGUCAGGACUUCGGAGACAUAAUAUACUGGCCGCUGAACCUUGUACGCUUUACCUUCUUCUUCGCGUUCGACUGUGAGAACAGUGCUGACGACUUGAUUUGUAGCCGCGAUGUACAGAAGAAGGGGUUCUUUACUGAGCGGGGCAGUAAGAACCGGCUGGGUGGAAAGCAGGGCUUUGAGGUCGUCGAAUGCAAUUUGGGCUUCGUCUGUCCACUCGAAAGUAUCUGAUUUCUUCAUGAGUCGGUACAGAGGUAACGCCUUCUCGCUGAGUCGAGCGAUAAACCUUCUCAAAGCCGCUAGGCAACCUGUGAGCCUUUGAACAUCAUGUAUUCUGACCGCCCGCUCCAUUCGGACGAUGGUCCCGAUCUUUUUGGGGUUGACAUCGAUCCCUCAUUCGGAAACGAAGAAACCGAGCAACUUUCCGCUGGGAACACCGAAUGAACACUUGGCAGGGUUGAGCUUGAUAUCGUACCUACGAAGGUUGGCAAAUGUUUCUGCCAAGUCAAUCAGCAGGUCGGAACCUUUGCGUGACUUGACUACCAUAUCAUCCAUAUAUGCCUCCACAUUUCGACCGAUCUGGUCAAGGAGGCAUUUUUGGAUCAUGCGCAUGAAAGUUGCUCCUGCAUUCUUCAAACCGAAUGGCAUAGUGAUGUAGCAGAAACACCCGAAUGGGGUGAUGAAGGCUGUUUUUAAUUCAUCCGGACCAUACACACGGAUCUGAUGAUAGCCCGAAUAGGCAUUAAGGGAUGAUAAAUGCUCGCAGCCCGCAGUCGAAUCAACAAUUUGAUCAAUGCGGGGGAGCAGGAAAUGAUCUUUCGGGCAGACCUUAUUGAGAUGCUUGAAGUCGAUGCACAUACGGAGGGACUUGUCCUUCUUGGGCACCAUGACAACAUUGAAGAGCCACUCGGAGUGGUGUACCUCGUGAAUGAAGUUGGCUGCCAAAAGUUUAGCCACCUCCUCUCCGAUUGCCUUCCUUUUGUGCGCGGCGGACCGACGCAGGCGUUCUCGGACGGGUCGAGCAGCAGGAUCCACAUGCAGUCGGUGCUCAGCCAACUCCCUUGGUACACCUGGCAUGUCAGCGGGCUUCCAUGCGAAAAUGUCCCAGUUCUCACGAAGGAAUUGGAUGAGCUCGGCUUCCUAUUUCGGAUCAAGGGUGGUGGAGAUGUUCGUCGGGGCAGCGGUGUCGUCCGUCGGGUGGAUGCUGACUUUCUUCGUAUCGCCCGCCGACUAGAAUGCGGACUCCGAAGCUGGCUUCUUCGAACGCAUCAAGUCAGCGGGGUCGGCUGUCUUCUUGUACUCAUCCAGCUCGAGGAUAGCCAUCUGCUGAUCGGCAAUCCUCGACCCCUACUGCAGACACUCCUCGGCCCGCUGCCGAUUGCCUGUGAUCGUGAUCACGCCUUUGGGACCCGACAUCUUCAGCUUCAAAUACACGUAACAUGGACGGGCCAUGAAACGCGCAUACGCCGGACGGCCCAAAAUCGCAUGGUAUACGCUCUGGAACUCCACCACCUCGAAUGUCAGCUUUUACUUGCGGAAGUUCUUGUCGGAGCCGAAAACGACGUCCAACGCGAUCUCGCCGAGUGACUUGGCCUUUCAUCCUGGGACGACUCCGUGGAACUGCAUGCUGCUCUCGCUAAGUUUGGACAUCGGAAUGCCCAUCCCCUUGAGAGUGUCAGCGUACAUGAUGUUCAAGCCGCUGCCGCCAUCCAUGAGGACUUUGCACAGUCGGACUCCUUCCACCACCGGGUCGACUACCAGAGCCUGCCUCCCCGGGGUGGGCACGUGUGCUGGAUGAUCCGACUGAUCAAAGGUGAUCGCAGUCUGAGACCAUUUGAGGAACGUGGGGUUGGUUGGGGUGGCCAUGUUCACCUCCCUGUUCACCAGCUUCAGUCGACUCUUGCUUUCCACGUCAGCAAAAAUCAUCAAUGUUGCAUGGACUUGGGGGAACGGAUCCUCCUUGUCCUCAUCAUCCUGCUCGUUGUCCUUUUCACUCGGUUGCCCUUCACCGAACCCUUGGAUCAGGAGGCGACAUUGCCGAGUGGUGUGCUUCGGGAAUAUGGCGUUGCCUUCUUCAUCCAUCUUCGUGUGGAUUGGACAUGGCUGAUCCAGGAUGGAGUUCCCGAACUGCUUCUUCUUGGGGGUGUACUGAGCCUUCCCCUUGCCCUUGAACUUGGCAUUUGUAACGGGAGCUGCCUCUGCCUGCGGAGUGGACGGAGCUUUCUGCUUUUGCUUCCGAUUGUUGUUCCCAUCUCCAUCGGCGACUGCCUUGUGCUUGCCACUACGUAUGCGGUCCUCUUCUUCGCCAUUUGCGUAGCGUGCGGCUAUCUCCAUCAUCUUGCUCAUGGAGAUGUCGCCUGUCCAACCAAACUUGAGGUACAGAUCUCUGUACCGCACGCCUGCCUUGAAGGCGCGGACUGCUUCAUGCUCUGUGACGUUCUCCACUGUGUGGUAGAGGGUCGUCCAGCACUGGAUGAAAUCACGCAGGGGCUCAUUCUGCUUCUGGACACAGUGCUGGAGCUCCACGAGACCAGCAGGGCGUUUGCACGUGCCCUCGAAGGUUCUGAUGAAGACUCGGGACAGAUCUGCUCAGCUGUAGAUGCUUGAUGGAGCCAACUGGUUCAGCCACGCUCGUGCCGAGCCGUCGAGCAUCAGGGGGAGAUGUUUCAUGGCGACCUGGUCAUCUACGCCACCGAUCUAGACUGCCACUCGGUAGUCGUCCAGCCACGUUUCUGGCUCGGAUUCUCCUAUGAACUUGUUGAUCCCCGUCGCCAAUCGGAAGUUGGGAGGGAUGUCAGCUGAACGGAUGGCCCGACUGAAGCACUCGGGGCCAGAGACGAUGGUCCUGCCGACACUCGGACGGUCUCUAUCGUGACCAUCACGGUGGGCUCGACUCCUGUCGACCUUCCUCUGGGCGAUGUACCCUCUUGCGUCGGGCCUUGGAUCAUACGUGUCACCGACUGAAUGCCGAUCAUCGUGAUGUCGGGGUCCGUAAGGCCCACCCCGCGGAGGGGUGCGUGAACGACGACGAUCUUCGGGAUUCGUGGAAUGGCUGCCCCCUCUGCGUCGCUGAUGAGAUUGGGGGUUGUAAACUGACCAUGCGUGUUCGCGUGAACAAAACUGUUGUGGAUCAUGUUGUGCGACUGGGAGACUGCCGAAUUCUGCUAUUGCGCCGUGUGCAACAGGGCACGGAUCUGCUCGAUCCCUCUACCAGCCUCUGAAUCAGUCGGUUGGAGGGAAUCGGCUAUCUUGGCGGCGGCGGCCAGGUUGAGGACGGGUGUGCGGAACACCUCGACGUUGCUUUGACGAGUGCGUCGACUGGCAGAACGGUGGUGUUGAUGGCGAGCGCCAGACGAUUCGCCGACCUCGUGCUCGUUCCGACCAGUACGGUGGGGACUUUCAUGGGAAUUGGCCAUGAGAACGGUGCAAGUGCACUUUUCGUAGAAAGAUGAAGCUUUUGUUGGGCUUUUGAUGUUUUUUCUGAAGAAUACCUGUCGUGGGUAUAAGUCUGACAGUAGAUGUGUAGGGUACGAAAGGAUGGGCAGAGCCUUAGCUAUGGCGAGGUUGUAUGAGUUCAGGCCCCUCUACGGUGGAGGUAAAAGCCCUACGUCUCAGUGCUCUUGGGAGCUUAGUGUCGAGUGGAAUAUGGGAUUACAGUAAAAGCCAACCCCUGCACUAGUGGGGAAGAGCGGCUUAUAUGGAGUGCCCUGCCUUCCACAACGGCCCGGUGGACAGGGGUGGAAUAGUGGCGAAUAAAAGCCUACGUUACAGGUAACGUAUGCCUUAAAUGCUAAUAAUGGUGUAUGAAAACGUGUGACCGUUGCCCUCCUGGGAGGUUACGAUGUACAGAGUGGAAUUCAGUCGGUACGAUAAAUAUGCUCCGAAUGCUCGUCACCGACUGGAUGAUGGGGGGUCCUUAGUUCAGUCGGAACUGUCUAAGGGACUUGCCCUCUAUGAAGGGUAGUCAUUGGGUAGGACCUAUAGGGCAGGCCUAUGACCCUACCCUGGGACUAUAACCCCAUCAAUACCACUGGUGAACUCAAAGGACAGAUGUCUUGAAUGAGGGAAGGCUCACCACUAGAACCCUCUGAUUGCAUCAAAAUAUCCUUUAUGUUUGAUCUUUCUAGUAAUUAUGUAUUUGACUAAUGUCUCCUACUUAAAAAAAAGAAUAACAACCAGUCUUCAACUGUUAAAGUUUUAUAUCUAUAUUUAGACACAAUUGGUGUUGAGGCACUAAAUAUGUAUGCCACGUGCAAUGCACAUGCUCCCCAGUCAUAUAUAUGCUUCAAUCUAUUUAUAUGUUGUUUUCUUGCGCCUUUGUGCUCUCUACAUUGCUUCACAAAUAGUGAUAGUGAGGCUACUCCUCGUCUCUCUCAUCUUUCAAACCAGUGGCAGUGACAGAUCACACCUCAACCUUGCAGGAGUUGUUAUGGACCAUCUGGUUUUCUUCAGGAAUCCACACCACUGGCAAUUCUGAUGGAGACCAUCCACCUGACGUCCUUCUUGCUACAACCACUCUGUUAUGUACUUCUAUUGCCACACAUGGCCUUUGGUAGAUCCCAGUGAGAUGAACUCCACCAAAAAUCCCUCAAUAAUUGUGAACCCAAAAAAUUAGGGAUUUAACUUAGAAAGAAUAACAGAGUCUACAACUAAGACAAUAAUUUUUAAAUUUUUCUUACUUACAAUUCGCAAAUUGGGUUAAGAGUGUACUACUUAAAAUGGAGAAUGUAUAUAUAUAUUAUUCGGAUGAUCAGAUGGGUCUUCUUCUACAUGGUGACUAUUGACGCAAAAUGAUUGCAGUUCUAUCUCAUCCACUACAUUUUGUUACUCAGAUUGUAAGUUAUUGUGCAUAUGUACUAUCAUCACACUUUUACUUUCCUUUGUGUUUGAUGUAGAGAUACGAACAAAGCUACAAAGUCAUAAGGGCACAUGAUCUUGUAGAUUUUUUAGAGUCUUCUUGGCAGCCUACAAAUUAUCUUUAUUUGAAUACAUAAUCCAUAUAUUUAUGCAAAAUAGAUGUGGAGUACGCAUUCUUUCUCUUAUUAGCUCACAAACAGGCUAUGGGCACCACAUCUUAGCAACACACAUCACACUGAAACGGACAUUAGAGUGCUACUCCCUCUGUUUGAAAAUAGAGUGUGUUGUUAGACUUUGACAACAAAUAUCUUGUACAAUAUUUUGUUGUUGUUACAAAUCAUAAUCAUAAGGAAGUGCUUCUCAACAUGAAUAUAAUGGUGUCUAUUUUGUAUAAGAUAAGCUACAUAUUAGUUGACUAAUUAUUGGUGAAAGCACAAAUUUGGACCGUCAAAGUAUGCUUUAUAUUUUGAAAUGGAAGGAGCAGUGGUUAUGGUUGUGAUACGUGUCUUAUGCAUUUAUUUGUAAAAGGAGUAGAAACCCAACCUGGAAGCAUAAAGUGACAGAGUAAUACCUGCUACUCCUUAAACAGGUUGGUACAAGUCUUCUCUAUUUGGUUUCACAUGCUACAUUGUAUAGAAAAACUGAGCUUGCAUAUAAAAUGUCAUGGAAAAACAUUUCUACACUUUAUAUCUGGUGAAAUUCAAGUUAUUAUCAAUUACUUGCAAGGAAUAAGUAGGGUGCUGCAUUUAUUUUUGUUACUGAGCAAGUAUCAUCAUUUUAUUAAUUCUGGUGUAAUAUUGAACAAUGAUGCUUCAUAUCAUUAGGACACUUCAUAAUUUAUUCCACUCUUGUUGUCUUUCAGGUCAAGAAAAAAGACGAGGUAUCUCUGCGAGAAACUACCUUUUCUUUACGCCUGUGGUCUUUUGAAAAUCUCAUCUACCCCCUUUGAUGGAAGGUUGAUUCUGUGUGGACUUGGAUAUGAUUCUGAAAUAUAUCCGGAGAUUGCACAAAGCUCUACAGCAUCGCACUACAAUGGCAAUAUGAAGCUUUGGUUCGAGUUGGGCUCACUACACUUGGGCAUACCGGACUACAAGAAGUACCGGAGGAGGUUUCUCACUCGAAAAGAUCGCUUCAUGGAAAGUGCAAUGUAAAUCCGUGUCACACUUCAUCAGAACCAUCGACAACAGUUUGUGACGUCCAGUGGCCUCCUCCCUAGAAUCAUGUCUCUACCGACCGGAUGCCUAUAGCUCCCAAGAGAUGCACUGUCAUUGGCUACAAUCGACAACAAACUUCACGCAUCAGUUGAACAUGAGAAGAUGUCCUGCCAUUGGCUACCAGUGCCAUUGGUAUUGAGCAGACGCAGCAUCAUCUGUCCAUUGCACUGAAUAGAUUGAUUGAUGGUUUCAUUACCUUGUGAUUUGUUCUGUCGUCGAUGCAAAGAUCCAUUUCAUAUUUCUCUCUUUUCUAAUAAGAGCACAAACAAACAUGUAAUCUCAUUUUUUGGCUGUUAGCUGUAGCGGGGUGAUUAAUUUUUUUGGUAGUUUGGCGCUUGUGAAAUUGUGGAUGGCCUGUAUAUUGUUUGCUGGAAUGCCAUAUUUUCUGCAAGGCCUCGAGGGACGGACUCAUUUGUUAUCCUGAGUGUUGUGGUGUCCAUGGGUCCUUUGUGCAUCUAAAUUGGUGUGUCCAUGAUUUGGCAUGCUAGGCGCAAGAGAUGUAUCGGUGCACCAAAGGCAUGAUUAGCACCUCUAAUAGCCUUGUGAUAGCACAUAAAGGAACACGUAGGCGCGGAAAUGAAACUUGGCCAACGAGGAAUCUGAAACUUCAAUAGGCACUAGCUUCUUGUUCAGGUACGAAGAAUGGGCGCAUUGAUCUCACUUUUAUAUGGUGCGGACCUCUUGUAAAAGCACACAAGUUGAUAUUACAAUUCCAUAGCAUAAGAGGUAUUAGCCUUGUUUUUUUUCCUAACACUGAUGUCGUGGAGAUUUUAUUAAAAAUUCAUGCCCUUGGAUAAGUACUAUAAAAUUACACUGCAAUAUUAUUUAUACAAUACCUUUUCUACCUUUUUUUUAAAGUCUAAGUGGUUAAUGGCCGAGAGAGAAAUUUAGUAUGCGCUGUGUUCAUAUAGGUGUAAUCAAAAUAAAUAAAUUAAUAACCCGUGAUAACGCACGAACUUUUUACUAGUCAUACAUAGAUGUACAUCUCAAGGAAGACUAUGAGGAGGGGUCCGAAGAAGAGGGAGACUAUGAGACCCUGUUCCAUAUAAUUUUCUUUCCUCGGGUGAUGCUUUUUUGAACACGGUAAACAUUUUAGUUUAAUGACAACUCAUUCAUCUGAAUCAGCCCAUAACCACGCAAAAAAUAAAACUGUACGAAUAAAACCAGGGUUAACGACGUAACCUAACGGCAAACUUCUCCGGCUGGACAGUGGGACUCGCGGCCAUCCACACUCACAGAGCCUCUCUCUCUUUGGGUUUUCAAUUGGCAGCAGAACAAGACAAAUAAAAGCUAGCUAAAGAAUUGGCAGCGGACCCGUGUUAGACUGCUUUUUAGAAAAAACUGAACCGACAUUGGUAACCGUAGUUAUUAUAAAGCCCCGGGUACCUCACAUGUUCAACAUCUGUCUCUGCUUACUGACUGAACCACAUUUAGCUACUCUGACCCAUAUUUAGUUACUACUACUAGUAAUACUACUAAUUGAUUGAAAGAUUAGGCAAAAGCUAAAGGCUUCUAAUCCAUCCCCAAAGCCCAAAGACCGGAGGAAUAAAUCUUGAAAAGGGUAAAGAGUAAUUUCCUUCCCAGCUUUUCCGAAGUCCUGAAGAUAGAGAGAGAGAGAGAGUAGAGAUAGAGAGUGAGGGUGCUCGCUCUCUCUCUCUCUCCUCCCUCUGGCCUCCCCUAUUAAUUUCCUUCUAGUUUUCUGCAAGCACACACUCUGAUAAGCCUCCCCCCCCCUCCCCCCCUCUCUCCAGCGCUCGCUCUUUGUGUGAGUGUGGGACGGGACAGUUAUUAUAUUAUCUUCAGCAAGAAGGCAGUUCCUCCUUCUCUCGCCCUCACACUGUCACACACACUCACGCUCUACGAGAGAGAGAGAGAGANNNNNNNAGAGAGAGAGAGAGAGAUGGAGAGCAAUGUUUCCUGGUAGCUGCCUUCUUCCUGCUCUCCUGCCCCUGAUUUGAGCCCCCCUCCGCGUCCGUUUCCUCUGCACCAGAUCUGCGGGGCGCUUCUCGUCGUUGUGCCGCUGCGUUUCGGCCAGCAAGUCAGCCAUGAGCAAGGAGGAUGUGCUCAAGAUACAGGUGAGGUUCUUCCUUCCUUGCUUUGCUUCCUCCCAACUCAAGACAUUCUCCCGCAUGUUCCUUCUUGUUUCUGCUGCCAUGGAAUUUCCGUGAGGUUGCUUGCUUGCUCCUAUGUCUGAUCCCUGCAUGCUGUUCGUGUUUCUUUGUUUGUUCGUCCCCAAAUCCACAGACCUGCGUGCUCAAGGUGAACAUCCACUGCGAUGGGUGCCAGAAGAAGGUGAAGAAGAUCCUCAGCAAGAUCGAUGGUAAGUAAUGGAUCGACUUCUGGUUGUCCGUCUUGUUUAGCUGUUCCGCCGGGAGAAUGUGUUGGAUUCAUCCCUCUUGUUUGCAGGCGUGUACCAGAGCUCCAUCGACCCGGAGGAGGGCAAGGUGAUGGUGUCCGGGCUGGUGGAUCCGGACACCAUCAUUAAGAAGCUCAACAAGGGCGGCAAGCCGGCUGUGCUCUGGGGUUCCAAGCCCGGUGGCGUCGCCAACCAGUUCCAGAAGCUCCACCUAGACGGUGGCGGCGGCGGUAAGGGCCAGCAGCCCAAGGACGCCGGCGGCAAAGGCCAUGCCAAAGAUGCCGGCGGCAAGGCCCACAAGGGAGGCGGUGGCGGCAAGGACGCAAAGAUGGCGAUGCCGCAGCCGACCCCGCAGCAGAUUCAGCAAAUGCAGCAGCAGAUGCAGAUGAAGGGCCCGACGCCGCAGCAGCUUCAGCAGCUGCAGCAGCAGAUGCAGAUGAAGGGCGCGCCGACGCCGCAACAGCUCCAGCAGCUGCAGCAGCAGAUGCAGAUGAAGGGAGCGCCGACCCCGCAGCAGCUCCAGCAGCUGCAGCAGCAGAUGCAGAUGAAGGGCGCGCCGACCCCGCAGCAGCUCCAGCAGCUGCAGCAGCAGAUGCAGAUGAAGGGGCUCAAGCUGCCGCCGCAGUUCAUGGGUGCCGCCGCGGCGAAGAUGCCUUUCCCGGCGGGUGCGCCGGCCAAGGACCCCAAGUCCGUCAAGUUCAACAUCCCCGACGACGGCUGGGGCGACGACGGCGGCAGCGAGUUCGACGACGAGUUCGACGAAUUUGACGACGACGAAGAUUUCGACGAUGAUGGCUUCGAAGACGACUACUACGACGACCCCAAGAUGAUGAUGAAGCAGAUGGCCAUGCCGCCGAACGCCGGCGGGGGCGACAAGAAGGGCGCUAGCAAUGGUGGGAAGAAGGGCGGUGGAGGAAACGAGAUCCCGGUGCAGAUCAAGGGGAACGGCAACAACGGCGGCAAGAAAGACGCAGGUGGCAAGCAGCAGCACCAAGGCGGCAACGGCAACGGCAACGGCGGUGGUAAGAACGCAGGCGGUGGUGGGCAGCCGAACAACGUCAAGGGAGGAGCACCGGUCCAGGGGAAGAAGGGCGGCGGCGUUGGUGGCCCGGCAGCAGCGAUGGGCGGCCCGAUUGGCGGCGGCAUGCAGCCGCAGCAGCAGGCCAUGUUCAGGCCUAACAUGAUGGGCGGCGCCGGUUUCCCCGGCAUGGGCGGUCCCAUGGGCCACCCCCACGCGGCGAGCAGCGCUCAGGCUGGCCGCGCCAUGCAGGGCAUGCCGCCGGCUGGGUUUUACCAGGGCGCUGGUGGCGGCGGCGGUGGCAUGCCGUCCGGGGCAGAGAUGCUGCAGGCUGCCGCUGCGGCCGGGAACCCCAUGGCGCAGCAGCAGUACAUGGCACUGAUCCAGCAGCAGCAACAGCAGCAGCAGAUGACAAUGCUGCAACAGCAGCAGCAGCAGCAAAUGAUGAUGAACGGCGGCCACGGCGGCGGCGCGGGAGGGUACCCGCAGAUGGGCUACGGGCCAGGUUACGGGCGGCCGCCGAUGGGCUCGUACCCGAUGCCAACCGCCUAUGCGAUGCCGCCACAGCCACCAGCGGGCGAGCCUUACAACUACUUCAGCGACGAGGACCCCAACAGCUGCUCGGUGAUGUGAGAGAUGAUGGAUCGCGCCACCGCCGCUCAUGGUUGAAAGGAAGGCCAUGAUGAAUCUGGCAGUGACAUGGGGCAGCAACAAGUCCCAUCUAGAUCGGUCCUCUUCUGUUUCUUCUUGAUUAAUUUAGCUUCUACAUUUUCGCCUUUUAUUUCAAUCAAGCUUAAAAAAGGGACAAGAGCCGUGAGACCUGCUUGAAGGCGAGUGUAGGUACAGUAAUUAUCUAUAGAUGUCAUAAGAGAUGAAUGCUCCCAUGCUGUUACAGUUGAAGAACAAUGUGAUUGACUGAUGGUAGAUCAAUGAACAGUAUGCAAAAUAACUAUGGUGUCAAUGCUCUGUCUUGUGUAUGCAAAAUAACUAUGGUCUCGGUGCUCUGUCUUGUGUUGCAUUCUGCACCGGUAUGACUUAAAAUCAUAUAGUUUUAAAUAGCCAGCGCCUUUAAGCCAACAUAGGAGAAGUUGGAUCGGGUUCUGACCAACUGAUCAUAGUCCAUGCCUUGCAAAGGGCCAAAUCAGCCAACAUAGGAGAAGUUGGUUCGGGUUCUGACCAACUGAUCAUAGUCCAUGCCUUGCAAAGGGCCAUAUCGGAUAACACAUCACUAUAUAUAGCGCCGUUAAGCGAAUAUUGCUGGAGGCCUUCAAAUUCAAACUUCAAAUUCAGUGCAAAUUUGUAUUUUAAUGUUUCAAAAAAUUCUGAAAAAAAAAUACAUAGAUAAAUGAAGGUAUAAUACACAAGUGUGUAAAUUUUCAGAACAAAAUACGUUGAAAUAAGGGCUGUGCAAAAUCGACAAAUCUGAGGCUGUUUACUAUUCAUCAUUUCAGACCAUGAAUUUGUUUUUUUGUACAGAUCACGAUUUAAAGUAUUUUGACCUGAAAUUUUACACACAUGUCGGUUACAUCCUUACAUACAUGCAUAUUUUUUUCAGAAUUUUUUGAACCAUAAAAAUUUCAAUUUGAAUUUUUCAAAAAUAAAGGCAUCCAUGGCUCCCGGGAGCCAAAACGCCAUUCUCGCCGUUAAGCCAACAUAUUGAAGUCGGAUCGGGUUCUGACCAACUGAUCAUAGUCCAUGCCUUGCAAAGGGCCGAUAUCCAUGCCUUGCAAGGGGCCAUAUCGGAUAACACAUCACUAUCGAUCGAUUCUCGGAAAGUGAUACAUAUGGGUAACAAAAAUAUUUUCUCUCGAUUCUGAGAAAGUGAUUUAUAUUGGUAACAAAAAUAUUUUCUCUUUUGAAUUAAGUUGGUUCGAGAGAGAAGGAUUGAUGGAUUUCAUUGCUGCUGAAUGGGUCAGGGAAUCUGGUGGGUCAUCUAGUAUGGAAAGAUGGCAGAAUAAAAUCAGACACUUGUGCUGUGCCGGUUCUUGAGAGGCUGGACCAAAAAUCAAAAUGGCAUUUACAAAGUAAAUAAAAGGCUUAUUCAACUCAUUAAUGAGUUAGAUAUGAAAGCAGAGUCUACAGUUCUUAAUAUGUCAGAUCGGAAUAUUAAGAUUAAGGUUGAGAAGAAGUUGCCAUCUCUUCUAAGAGAGGAGGAGAUGAAAUGGGCCCUUCGAGGAAAGGUGAUGAAGGUGGUCCAUGGGGAUGAUAACACACAAUUCUUUCACGUGAUUGCGAAUGACAAACAUAGGAAGAAGAACAUAAUUCAACUUGAACAGGAUGAUGGUACAAUUAUAGGACAUGAGAACCUACAAUUAUACAUCUCCAAAUACUAUAAAAAAUUGUUUGGCGCAUUCGAAGAGAAUUUUGUUUCUCUGGAUGAGUGCACAACAAGCGACAUACCUCACCUCAGUUCAGAUGAAAACGAGGUAUUGUCAGCUCCGUUUACUGAGAAAGAGGUGUUUGAUGCAAUAGCACACAUGAAACAAAACAAGGCACCAGAUUCGGAUGGGUUUUCGGCGGAAUUCUAUAAAAAGUGUUAGCAUAUUAUUAAGGGUGAUCUUUUGCCUAUGUUCCAUGAUUUGUUUAAUGGUCACUUGCAGUUAUUCCACCUUAACUUUGGAACAAUAAAGUUGUUUCCAAAGAAGGUGGAGGCUAUUCGCAUUGAGCAGUUCAGACCGAUUUAUCUGCUUAAUGUCAGUUUCAAAAUCUUUACAUAGAUUGGCACGAGUAGAUUGACGGAGAUAGCCCAUUCGGUAGUGCAACCAACUCACACAGCUUUCAUGCCUCGGAGACACAUCCUAGAAGGGGUCGCCGUCAUUCAUGAAACGUUACACGAAAUCCAUACAAAGAAACUUGAUGGGGUUAUCGUUAAAGUGAAUUUGGAGCACGCGCAUGAUAAGGUCAAAUGGACAUUUCUUCAAGAGGACUUACAUAUGAAGGGGUUCAACGUAUCUUGGAGGGAUCAGGUGGAUGCUUUCAUUCAGAAAGGUAGUGUCGGGAUUAAAGUUAAUAAUGACAUAGGUCAUUACUUUCAAACACAUGAGGGCUUGAGACAUGGAGAUUUGAUGUCUCCCGUGCUAUUCAACAUAGUGGCGGAUAUGUUGGCAGUCCUUAUUGGUCGUGCUAAAGAGAAUGACCAAGUAGGAGGACUUGUUCCACACCUUGUAGAGGGGGGAGUGUCCAUACUACAAUAGCGAAUGACACAAUCAUCUUCACAGAACAGGAUGUCGCAAAAGCUAGGAACAUGAAGCUUGUUCUAUGCCUAUUUAAACAAUUGUCUGGACUAAAAAUUAAUUUUAACAAAAGUGAGCUAUUAUGAUUUGGGAGAGAAAAGGAGGAACAAGACGCGUACAUGCAACUAUUGGAUGUGAAAUGGGAUCACUCCCGUUUAGUUACGUAGGGAUUCCCAUUCAUCAUAGACGAUUGAUGAAUAGGGAAUGGAAAUGUAUUGAAGAUAGAUUCGAGAAAAGACUAAGUUGCUAGAAGGGAAAACUUAUGUCUUAUGGAGGUCAGCUUGUGUUGAUAAACUCGGUGUUGACAAGCGUGCCGAUGUUCCUACUAGCUUUUUUGAAGUACUGGUAGGUGUACGGAAAAUACUAGACUUUUAUCAGUCUCGUUUCUUCUCACCGUGUGAUGAGGCUAAGAACAAAUACAGAUUGGCAAGGUGAGAUAUUAUUUGCAGACACAAAGACCAAGGGGGUCUCGACAUUGAGAAUUUAGAAGUGAAGAAUAAAUGCACGCGUAGAAAAUGGCCAUACAUGUGAUCUUCUAGACCGAAGGGAUGUGGGUACAAAUCUUGUGGGAUAAGUACCUACAGUCUAAGACAUUGGCUCAGGUUACUGCUAGACCUAAUGACUCACCUUUUUGGAAGGAGUGAAUGAGGAUGAAGGUAACCUUCUUGGAGCGGGUGAUGUUUUUAGUUGAGAAUGGUACAACGACCAUAUUCUGGGAGGACACAUGGCCUGUGAUACGCCUAUAGCUUUACAAUAUCCUAUCCUAUAUAAUAUUGCACAACGUAACGAAGAUUUGUUGGCACCAUAUUACAGUCGGUACCUGUGAAUAUCCAAUUCAGGCGAUCUCUAGUGGGAGAACGCUGGAAUGCUUGGUUACACUUGGUGAGAUAAUUGAUGGAUGUUGAACUCUCUGACGAGGCACAUAAUAUUCACUCGAAAUUAGUUAUGAAUGUUUUUCCACUGAAGUCGAUGUAUAUGGAUCUAAUUAACUCUACACCUCUUUCGAGAUCAUUGCAUAUUUGGAAAAUUAAAGUGACACUUCAAAUUAAAAUUUUCAUGUGGUUUGUACACAAGGGAGUUGUACUAACCAAAGACAACUUGGUAAAAAGAAGAUGGAUAGGCAAGUCUACAUGUUGCUAUUGUGAUCAAAAUAAAACAAUAACACACCUCUUUUUUAAUUGUCCACUUGCAAAAACUAUUAUGGUGCACUAUUCAUAUUGCCUUCAACACUAAUCCAGCAACGAGCAUUAAUACUCUAUUUGGGACGUGGCUCAGUGAAGUAGAUGUAACUAUAGCGAAUCAUAUCUGGAUUGGUAUAAGUGCUUUAUUUUAGGCUAUAUGGAACAUUACAAAUGAUAUGAUCUUUAAUGGCAAGAACUUCAAUAAUUUUUUGGAGGUUAUAUAGAGAGCCACGUCUUGGAUCCGUACGUGGUCGUUACUCACUCAUGCAGACUCUAGAGAACUUAUGGCUAUUGGGUGCAAGCGGGGGAAGAUGGUCGCAUGAGCUAUCUUCAGCCGAUUUGGAUGACAAGAUAAUAAUAGGCUAGGUGUAUAGGCAUCGUAGCCUACUUUUGGUUUCGUCGGCUAUGGCAAUUUUUAUUUAAUUUACCACUUGUUUUUAUGCUGAGUUUUUGAGCACUUUGUGGAUCUAAGACUUUAUUCUUGAACUAUUUUAAUAAUAUGGCUGCAUACAUCGAUUGAUGCACACGCUGGGGGCGGUGUUCCUCCUUUUCUAAAAAAAUAAUAAAAAUAAAAGUAAAAAUGGUAUCAUGUACAAAUAGGCCGUUAUAGCCCGCUAUAACUAAUUUAGAGGCUCACUGUUAUUUGCCAUAGCCCGCUAUUUAAAACAUUGGUGAAAACUGAGAUGUCCUCAAGAAAUGUGGAGAUGUCCUUGUGGCGAUCGAGUAAUGUAUUGAAUUCAUGCUUGAGACAACUCUUUCAAAAGUCCAAAAAUUUAAAACAUUGCUGAAAACUGAGAUGUCCCGAAGAAAUGUGGAGAUGUUCUUGUGGGGAUCAAGCAAUGUAUUGAAUUCAUGCUUGAGCCAACUCUUUCAAAAGUCUGAAAUGUGAGAGAGGACCGGACAUUAUACUCCAACACAAUGCUUCAGACUAGACGAUAGUGAGCUACAUCUUCCAAACCAAGCUUUUCUGGUCCUCCUUCCUAAAAAAGACUCUUGCCUUUCUCUACGUGAUUGUGGGCUACAAAAACCUCCGACGAUCUCCCAUGGUCUGCCCUUGAUCUCUCCACAUCAGAUAAAACGAAUACCAUCUUUAGAGAACAUACAAGGCUAGAGGUGCGGUGGUUCUACACUGUCCCGGUGGGACUGUUGGAUCGACUGAGCCAACCUUUCGCAACUCAAUGCCUCGUGAACUCGUGGCAUCGGAGGUGGAUCCGUCGAGGAAAUUAUCUAGUUCAUAGAGUUUAGGUAGAAGGUAUCUAGUCGACCACCGCUUCUCCUAGGACCGGACCCCUGAUCAUGGAAAUGGAAUCUGUGAUGUUCCCGCUCUACCAAAAUAAUAUAGGAGGCUACCUUUGAUUGAAGGAUUGAUCAUCCCUAGGCGUUACUCAAGUGUAAGAUUUCUUUUCAACAAAGAGAAUAUAUUAAUAUUAAGAAGAUACCAAUUACACCCAGCCUUUGCAACAUUAAAAUGUCCAACUAGACAUUAAGGAUGGACACAGCCAAAAAAGGAAAAAAACAAGAAAGCCUCGACAUAGUGACCACUCACUCGCAACGACAGCACACUAACCACCACCAAAGACGACACCUGAACCCCAAAAGAGGUCCUUCAAAGACGACACCUCCAAGAAGGGAACAUAGGACAAGCACCAUCGUCGCCCGAUCAAUGAUCCUUGAUUUUCACCCUAGAGAAAGUCUGAGUUCUAAAAACAACGCCUUCAACAAGAUCGUUGCCAGGUACAACCAAUGAAGGGCAUACCGUGGGUUUUCAUCCAUAGAAUCGAGACUCGAUACUCGAGGUGCACCAAGACGACUAAAGUCCUUCGGUGCUGCCGCCCCACUUGCCGAGGGCGCUAGUGCAACUUACUAAACACAAACCCAGUCUGCAUCACAUCCAAGGCACUCCGCCCCUUCUUCUCAUACUCCAGUCACAGCUGCCAUGACAUUCUCCACCUCUCUCAAUACCAUGAAAAUCUAGAAGUAGGCAUGUCCCAUGGUACCAUAAAAAGCUGAGCUUCGGGCCACAAUCACUUAAAGCUGCACGGGCAGAAGCGCGGAUGCGCACGGUCGAUUGCCAUCUGAUCCAGAAAACCACGAGCAUCUUGCGCCAAUUUGUAAAAUUCUAACAAAGAAUUUCGGAACUCAUCAUCGGCUAGAUCGAAGGGGAUCGAAAACAUGUAGAUCAUUAGUUUGGCGUGAGAAGAUCAAUAGGGUAGCCACCUUUAUUGAUCCAGAUCAGCAACCCCAUCCUGCUAAUCCAAGGGACCAUGCCGCUUUGAUAUCCCCAACCAGCAACCGGAACCCCAAGGCCGAGCCGGAGUGCUAGGAGAAGGCGUCAUGCGUCGCCCACCGUCUAUGUAGAAGGCCGCCAAGACCGCGAGCACAAUGCCGAUGCAACCACCACCACACGAUUGAUGAAGAGGACACACACCUUCUCGAAUCUGGAUGCAACACUACAAAUGCUAUAUUCGUCGCUGCCAUGUCAUUGGGAGCCACCCACGUAAGGUCGCUAAGGUCAACCGCUAGUCAUUUGGAUCCCAAGCACAUCACACACCGACAUUCCUCCCGAACCUGCAGCCCUACAAAUCGAAGGAUACCGCGAGAGAGCGCCCCACCACCAUCGUUGGCCACGCGGGAUUUGCCCGGCGGCAUCCUCCAGCGGCGGCGCGGCAAGAGGAGGAGGAACAUCGGCGGUGCGGGUAUGGAGGUACGGCCGAGUCGCAAUCGUUGCUGGUAUUCUCACCGACUGGCCAAUUGCAAUAGUUGGUCGUAUUCUCACCGACAUGCCAAGCGCAUAAUACCUCACAAAUACUACCACCCCUCAUGCUGCGAGCACGACGAAAUGAUUGAACACAUGCUCCUCCAAUGUGUGUUCGCCCGCGAGGUUUAGUUAGUAAUUCUUCUUGGAUAGGCCUACAUCGAUAAUCCCCUUCUACCGACGACUCCAUCUCAAAUUGGUGGACAUCUCUCUAGCGGGUUGUGCAUCACAAGCUUCAAAAAAGGGUGAACUCGGUCUUCCUAUGGACAUUUCGUUGCAUAUGGCUAGAGCGAACCCCUAUGGUAUUCAAGAACACCUCCCACCUUCCAGGGGCGGUAACAACGGUAAAAGGUGGGAGGCCAAGCCAAGAUCUAGAUUUUAGACACAUAAGAAAAUCAGCUACCUAGAUCUAGAUUUAAGAAUAUGCAUUGCUACUUACCAAGAGUGGACGACCAGUUGGAUAGGGGGCGACCCUGCUGGACGCGGCGUGAUCGGCGAGGCCAAGCCAGGUCCAUACGGAAGAUGAGCAUGACGCGGUUGUGACCGUGACUUUGCCGACCUAGGUGAGGCUGAUGUUUGAUGGUGCGUAUGUAGAAGGGGGGCUUAGAAGGAUGCCCUCGGCAUGGCGGCGAAGGCAAGGUGGCGGCGAUCGAUGGUUGUAGAUGGGAUUGAUCGGGCAUGGGCGAUAAGGUGAAGGGAGUCGACCGAAAGGGGGGAAGGCGUUCG